rnacentral:lncRNA from 1 species
AGACUGGGAUGUGCAGAGGGGAGGCAGGGAGACGAGCAAGGAGGCUGCUGUGCUUCCCAGGGAGGUACCAGGUAGCUCAGACCAGUGGGAAGUGGAGUUAGGCAAGAAGCAGGAGGCCUCCCAAGGGGCGGUGAUCAGCCAGGCUGCUUUUCCUUCAGGUUCCUUUAGCAAAUUUGUGAAUGUGAUAUCAGCCAGGACGGCCAUUGGCCACGACCGGAAAGGGCAGCUGGUGCUCUUUCAUGCAGACGGCCAAACGGAGCAGCGUGGGUGAGUCCUGGGAGCUGAGGCCCCCCGGCCGGGGCUCAGUCCUGCUAGGAGGAACGUUGACCCAAUGACAG